UGGGAGGUCGUCCAAUGGCAGGACAGCGGUCUUUGGAGCCGCGAAUCGUGGUUCGAAUCCACGCCUCCCAG
rnacentral:tRNA from 2 species